rnacentral:lncRNA from 1 species
AGCAAACUAUGAAGAGGAGCCAAAUUGGUUUGGCAUCGGCGUUAUUAAAAACGAUGCAAUAUUUUUUAGCUCCUUAGUCAAGUCGUCGAUCUUCAACUGUUGUGAUUGUACCUGAUCUUUUGUAUUCUGCAAUUCAGGUCAAGUUGUCUGUAACUCAGAUUGAGUGGUUUCUAACUCAUUUUGCAAUGCCUUCUCAUUGGAUGAUGGAACUUGAGAAUUAUAAUGAACUCGCCUUCAUUUCACAAGUCCCCUAUAAUAGCUUGACUUGUCUCCAAAUACUUGCUGAGACAUCUCUUCAUCACUGAUUUGCGAGACGAUCCUUCAGUUUGAGACAACUGAUAUAGCUCGACCAUUUUUUCCUAUAAAGAGAAAUAAUCACUUUAAAAUAAAUUACAAUUAUGUGUUUAAUCUUCAAUUCAAUAAGAAUCGUACAUGUGCAAAUUGUGCCUCAUAACUAAUCCAUAGUUUUUUUUUUCAUUGUAAUGAGUAGAACGAAAAAAGUCUAGAAAACUUUGCACUUCAUCUGAGUCAGAAGACUGUGAACAAAAAUAUUUAUAACAUUAGAAUGUUAACACUUUAAAAUUAUGUAUUAUGUUAACACUUUACAAUUAUGUAGUAACAUAAAUUAAAAGGUUAACAGAGUGAGAUCCUUGGUUUGUGCAAAUGAUCAUAAACAACAUUUAAUGGUCUAAUAAUUGCAUUCAAACACUUUUUACAUGGACAACAAACACAAUUAUUCUCAUCUACACACUUCUCAACAGCUUUCAUAAAUAAAUUAACAUCGUUUCUAUAUUCAUUACAAAGUUUAUCUUCAAGUCACAUUCAACUUUUAUCCAUUAUUGACAUCCUAACGAAAUAAAAUCUUGUUCAUAUCAAUGCUUCAUUAAUUUCUAAAUUUCAUAUCAACAUUUCAUUAAUAAAGAAAUAAACACCCAAGAAAGAUCAUAAGCACUACCACAUAGAAAAAAAUUAAUAAUUUAGUCCUAAUAAAUCAUGCAACAUAAAUAUCAAAACAACAAUCAUUGAUUUUAACAUCUUAUAGAGUAAUUUGAAGCUGAUUUAUAUGUAACACCUAAAAAAUCACUUGAAAUUUUCUCCCUAAUACUCUCGCUAAUAGUUACGAGUAUUGAGUAGAAAUUUGCCCCAACUUUGGAAUCAGCUAUCCUCCUCUCUGUGAAAAAAAAAAAAUUGUAAAUAACUAUCAAUUUUUUGUUUUCAUGAACUGUGAAAAUAGUUAAAAAAUCAAAACCAGUAAAAAAAUUAGCCAAAAGCAGCAGAAAAAACACCAAAUAAUAGAUUUAUCCAAUAAAAAGCAGUAAAAACAGUCGAGAUAACAGUCAAAAUAGUAAAACAGUAGUAAAUAAAAGUUGAAAUAGUAUAAUUAACAAAAAUAACAGAAGAAAAAAUAAAAAGUUGCCUAGAAACAAUAAAAAAACUAAAAAUAGUAGAAAUACAAAAAAAAAAGCAGAAAAAAAAGCAAAUAACAAUUAAUUUUUGUUUAUAAGAACUGUAAGACCAGUAAAAAAAGAAAAAAAAACUUUAUCUAUAACGGGAAAAAAAUUAAAAAAAUAACCCAAAAACAGUAGAAAAAUACAAAUAACAUAUUUAUCCAGUAAAAAAGAGCAAAAAUAACAGUAACUAAGAGUAGAAACAACAGAAAAAUAAUAAAUAAUAGUAAAAAUUGCAGAAUCAACAGAAAAUAAUAGCAGAAGAUAAAAAGUUACAGCAGUAAAUAACACUAGAAACAACAAACACAACAAUAAAUAACAGUAUAAACAGUAGAAUCAACACAAAUAAUAGCAAAAAAAAUAAGCUUACACAAAAGUAGUAAAAAAAAAUCAAAUAAUUGUAGAAACAAUAAAAAUUAGCAAAAACAGUGGAAAUAGCAGCAAACAAGUGCAGCUUAAAGUGACAGUAAUACGGUAAAAUAAAAAUGUAGGCCAAUAGGCUAUGGUGAAAAGCCUAGUAGAGUAGAGGACCACUUCAAAUUUUUUGAGUUAUAGACUUUAGCAAGUUGGAUUUAAUGAAAAACUAAUUCAAGAUUUAACACAAUUUUUUUAAUUAUUUCUCUAUUAAUGUGCAGAGGAGUCAAUGAAUUGGAAAGCAAAAGCUUGGAUAUUUAUAGAAUCAAAUGGAUUGUUGUGGAGUUUGAGGUGUGAACCAAUGAUUUCUACUGUCUAGGUCCAGUUACUCAAACAACAACCUAAUUAAAAUCCUCUUCUUUGUUUAUUAUUAUUAUUCUUAUUAAAAGGAAGAAUUGAUUGGGCAGGUCUAUAUGCUAUGUUUUUGCAAACUUUUCUCAAGGGUAGCAUUCUUUCAAAAAUCAAGUCAAAGAAGCUACUCCUAUACCAUGGUGUUUUCCCCAACUUCACCAUUAGUGCCCACUGCCAUGCAACUAAAUUUUUAAUAAAUAUAUCUCCUACUUUUUCUUUUUGGGAAUAUAUCUUCAAAAUUAUCAGGGUUCAAUUUUGGCUAGUUAUACAAAUACCACUUUUACUUGAUGGUUAGAGAUUCUAUUCCAUAACAGCUCACUCACACAUAGUUCAAAAACUCCCAAGUCACACACACAAGAAAAAAAGAAGGCAUAACAACCGAAACGAGAGAGGGGGUGGAGAGAGUUCCAGUAUAAAUUCAAGAUCCCCAAACCCCUAAACUUGCCACACAUAACACACAUAACACAUACCACCUCCCUCCGUCAGCAGACAGCAAAGCACUCAAGGAUAAAUUGGCACAUCAUCAUAACGAGAAAAAGAAAAAAAAUAUAUAGAUACUUCCAGACCUCAGAAUAGCAAGUGCGCACAAAAGAUGAAAAAAUGUGGACUUAUAAAACUAUCACAGCUUCAGCCAAGCACAAUUAUACCAAAGCAAGGAAGCAAAGUCCAAUAUUGUCAUAGAAUUAUAUAAAAAUUAGAUAGUUAGGCAAAAGUGUGCACACCAUCUCCAUGGACACUUAAAUCCAAAAAAUUAUAACAAAAUUAGAUAAGAAAAGAAUGUAACAUGAAAGAUUUGUGCUCAUACAGGAAUUGUAGUUUUGAAAGCUGACGAUGGUGAAUGAAGUCAGAGGCAGCGAACAACGACAGGAGCGAGGAACCGAAUUGAAAACAACAACAAGCUACAGCGUCGGCAAACUUGAACGAAAAUCACAGGGACGGUAGUUGGCGUGGGUGUGUGAGUGUGACUAUUGUUCUCUCUCUUUCACGAUAGAGAAGAAGAACUCAAGUGAAA